CGCAGUUCUUCACGGUUUAAGAAUAAAUCUCUCGCGAAAAUGAAGUGCAUACUGUUAGCGACUGUUUUAUUGCUGCUGGCAAGCGAUGCUUAUUCGAAACCCUCGUGCGCGAGCGGUGGACCAGUAGACCCAAGAACUGGACAGCCUAUUUGUAAUGACGCAUUCGUUAAUCCUUGCCCUCCAGGCCAUCGUCGUCUGUCAGCGAACCAUCCGAGUCUUAAUAGGCCUGGCCAUAAACUAUCCCACAUAUGCAAGGACGAUCCGUUCGAUGAUACCGGUUUUGCGGCUAUUUAAGGAUUAUCGGCUUCGACUCGAGGAUCAGUUCUACAGUAGACGUUGGAGUAGAGGUUUUCAUUACUUUGGCAACAUGAAGUUUGUAGUUUUGGUGGGCAUUCUAUUGUUAAUGGGGGAAAGUGUUCUGCUUCAUCCGGUGAAAGAGGACUACGGGAUUUAUCCGAAUAUUCCACCAUAUAUGGCGGCUGAUACUGAACGAAGGACUGAUCAGCCAUUAACGGGUCCAAUAUUCGCCAUGCAACCUAUAUCCAUUAUCGUGACACCUCUGAAAAAAUGCCCCGAAGGUCAGCAACUUGAUCCUGCCGGGAAGUGUCAAAAGGUCAUAGCUUGAGUCGGCAUACUGGGACUCAGUUAGGUACAUGACGAUGGAUGGUCAGUCAAAAGAUAAGACAGUUUUGUAAUUACAGACUGUCUCAGAUAUCGGAAUACGAUAACUGUAUGUUGAGGACAAACUAACUUAUAUGUAGAUUAAAUUGAAUAAACAACAAACUUACAGUUUACUUAU